rnacentral:lncRNA from 1 species
AGAGACGGCGGCAGAGAGUAAGCCCAUCCGCGAUCGAAAGCUGGGAUAGUUCAAUGCGGGGGUCAGCGGCUAGCGCCCUGUUAAGAUUUAUCAUGGUCUCCGUAUACACCAGAGCUUCUGGAGGCAGAGGCUCGUCCUCUGGCGAAGGUGCCACCGAUCCGCACCACAGGGUAUUGUCGUACGCGACGACUCCUCCCACCCUCACCAGCUGCAGAAUCCUCUCGUGGUAAUGAAUGUAGUUAUCUUUAUCGGCGUCCACAAACACAAAAUCAAAUGUCCCCUUGUUCUCCUCCUGCGCGACAAACAUUAAACUUAUCAUAUAAGUCGAAAAAUAGAGAAAGAAAGAAAGGCUUGAUAAGUACAGGCUCUUGUCUUCUCCAUUACCUUCGACACCAGUUGGUCAAGAAUAGGCAUGGCGGGGCCUUCGCGGAAGUCGAUUUUGUGGGCCACUCCAGCCUUCUGAAUCACCGGAAGGCCCAGCGAGUAGUUCUGCCGGUUGAUAUCCAAUGCCAGUAUCUAAGCACAACCGAAUUAACCCAUAACUAAGCAAGUUCAAAUAAUUUUUCUCAGAGUAGAACCAACAAAAGGGUGUAGAUUAUACAAACCUGCCCAUCAUCAGGGAGGGCGAGGGCGGUGGCGAGGAGGGAGUAGCCGGUGAAGACACCGAUCUCCAUCGCCUUCUUCGCAUUCAUCAGCUUCAGCAACAUGCUGAUGAGCUGGACCUCAUCGGGCGUCGAGGCCAUGCCACCCCUGUAAGAUGCAAAAUAUAAAAAGUUAAGCUUCUGGUUAUAACAAAGCAAGAGAGCUUCAAUUUUGAUUCUUUAAUGGUUCAAUUUUAACAUCUAGAUCUUCAAUUUUAAAGUUUUAUCUGAAGCAGUAUAGCAAGAGGACAUAUAAGAUCUAAUUGUAAAAACUGACUCAUAAGAUUUAAUUGGAACUAAAAGGAUAUGCUAUAGAACACUAUAUUAACGCUUCUUUUUUUUUCCCCUUUUGUUCUUUAUGCAAAUUGAGAUAAAAUAUAAAAUCAAAAAGCCGUUCCAUAAGAGAUUAAUGUACCAGGGGUGCUUCGCUGUGAUGCGGCGGAGCUCUUUCAUCCACGGUGCCUCGCGGGGGUACACACUUGUGUUCAAUAUGUACUGCAAAAUUUUUUUUUUUUUUUUAGUUGUAUGCAAAUAACAAGGUUACAUCAAGUGCAGUCACUUUUCUGAUUGAUUAUUAGAAACUUUUAAUGAUCAUUCUUAAACACUUCACAUGAAUAAAAAAAUAACUUAAUACCUAGACUCACUAAAUGAGUUAUAAGAAUACUUCACUUUCUAUUAUUUAAUUAGUCAAACUCUUUAUUGAACUCGAAAUUUCAAACAAUAGUCGACAUCAAUUUAAAUCUCCAUUUAAUCGGCAAAUUCCUCCUCCCUUAAACGGCCAAUAUUUUCCAUUCUUUUGAAAAAAAGAAAAAUUUCGCACCAUUUUUUAAAUUUCUAAGAUUACUUCCUAUUAACACUUGUACAAAAACACCUUUUUUUUUUUCUAGAUUUUAUUUCCUAUUAACCCAACGUAGGAAUUAACAUUAAAUUUUUCUUUAAAAAUAUAUGAAAUUUAAUGAAAUAUUCGAUUAGUGCUAAAAAUACGAAAAAGUUGUUGAAUCCAGCGACAUAACUUUACUAAAAAAAACAAAAAAAAAAAAAUCAAAACAAAAAAGAAAAGAGAUGAUGAUGAAUCUCACCGACCUGAAAGAGAGCGUGGCUUUUGAGGAGGGUUUUGUGGUCGGUCGGCGACUCUUCGUCCCUCGUCGUCUCCGUCGCGGCGGCGGCGGCGGCGGCGUCGUCAUCGUUCGCCAUUUCCCUCUUCUUCUCCUUCUUCGCCCUUUUUUUUGAUCUCUCCUCCUCCUCCUCCUUCCUCCUCCUCCUCUCUCUCUCUAAUUUUCUUUUUUUUUUUUUCUAUAUUUCUCUUGCUCUUAUAUAAUAUAUAUAAAAAUUAUUAUUCUUAGCGUUCAUACAAAGCGUAUGAACAUCGUAAACGAGGUAGAACGGGUACAAAGAGAACCGGUUUUCCGAGGCCUACUGUGUCAGAGUUCUAGAAUAGCACUUUCGUUGCCGAAUGCCUACAAAAGCAUAGAAGAAAAUCAAAAGAAAAUUUUCAAGAAUCACAUUUUGAAACGGCAUUUGUUCUGCUCUUUUACCCGACCUCUUUCUGAAAAAAAGAAUAAUUACCAUUCCAAUAUGUUAUUUUUAUUAUAUAUAAUUAAAAACUAUAAAAUUUAUUGGAAGUAUAUAUUAUUUUAAUUUAAUUACUUAUAAUUUGUUUGACUUAAAUGAUUUGAGGGCACUUUGAAUAUAAAGUUUAAGCUAUUUGCUUAUUUUUAUAAAUUUAUAAUUAUUUAAAUGGUAUAAAAUAUACUAACGCAUUUAAAUUUUUUAAAAUUAAAAAGUCGCUGAUUUAUUCAGAUCAAAUAAGUGAAAAGAUCAAACAGUAAAAUUAAGUUUGUAAAGAUUAAAUAGUGGGAUCAAAAAGAGUGAUAAUUGAGAUAAGUUCUAGACAUAUUAAAUAUGCAACGGCUUAAAUUUUAUACUAAAAUAAUUAUUAAGUGGUUUAAACUAAAUAAAUUAGAAGAUGGGACAAAACUUUAAAUUAUAAAAAAUUUAAACAGUGGGAUCAGAACGGGCCACGGUGGAAGCCGGUCUUAUUUUAUAAAUAAAUAAAUUCUAGGCUUCCAGCGUGCGUCCUUUUUUUUGUUGAGAGAAAAAGGUCACAUAAAAAUAAAUUUAUUUGAAAAUAUAAAAUAAUUAAAAUUUAAAUUUAAAAUUUUAAAUAUUAAUUAUUAAAUUUUUUUUAUCACCUGCGCUAGGAACAGUCGGUCACUGUUUAUCAUUUAAAUUUUAUAAUAAUAAUAAUAAUAAUAUACUUCAUAAAAUUUAGUGCAUCGUUAAGUUUUUACUUGUUGCUUAUAAAUUAAAUAGCUAGAUUAAAAGUACGAAGUUAAUGGCGAUUCAACGAAUUAAUAAUGAAUCAUAUACAAAUAAAAAUAUUUUUACAAGUCAUGCUCACAAGAGCCCGCGUGGUAAAGCACGACUUCGCCAAAGUUGCGAGUUACACGUUUAGUUUAACAAACGCAGGGCAGGGAAGGCCCUGUGAAAAGUAGACCCGGCAAUGGCGUAAACAUAUUUUCCAAUCAGGGAGCGUACGCGUUUGUUGAAAUGUAGCUUCUGAUCCACCGUCGGAGCAUUCGCGAGGCGAUCCGCCAAACCGGCCUGCUCCUCGAGCUCUUAGAUGAUGAUGUUCGGGACCGCGGAUCGGCCCUUCCGGAUUCUGCGGUCCUCCUCAGCUUGUCUGAGCUCCACGUCGCGCUCCAGAAGAUCCGGCACCUGAUCAACAAUUGCUCGCGGCUUUUGGUCUUGAUGCGGUCCGAAUUCGGCUCAUCGGAUCUCCGCGUCCUCGUCCGGUCGAUCGCAACCGCGAUCGACGUGCUUCCGCUCGACAACGUCAAUGCGGCGGCGGAGGUGAAGGAUUUGGUGCGGCUCCUAUCGAAGCAAGCAUGGAAUGUGGUGAUUGCGACCGAUCCGGAUGUGUUAAAUAUAAAAAUAUUUAAACACCGUUUUCUAACCGUUUAUACUUUUUAGAGUACAACGGUUUCACAGGAGGACAAUCGGGCGGCGAAGAGCAUCCGCUCGAUGAUGCAUCAGCUUAAGAACGGCGUCACACCCGCGGCGAGCGUUCUCGAGCGGGUGUUGAACCAUUUGCAGGUGAGAAGCUGGUCCGACUGCCACGAAGAAAUCGCUUUCUUGUUGCGCUUCUCGGCAGCCUGAUGGCGUUCAUGAUGUAUUGCCGGGCGGUCCUUUUCGACACCGUCAACGGCAAAAGGAGACACAAAAAGGAGCGCGCAUUGCACAGCGAGCAGUGUCUCCGACUGGCUGAAGCAAGAAGCUCUGCAAUGCCCGAUCUCUCUCGAUCUCAUGACCGAUCCCGUGACGAUCGCCACGGGACAGACCUACGAUCGGUCAUCGAUCAAGCGGUGGAUAAAAUCCGGCCGCCUCACUUGCCCUGUAACAGGCGAGAAGCUAACAAACACUGAUUUGGUCCCCAAUUUCGCAAUUCGAAAGCUCGUCGACGAGUUUUGUCGCGAUAAUAGAAUCCCGAUAGCAAAGCCGAACACCAAGCACCGUCAGAGCGUGGAAAAGACGGCCUCGCCCUUCGGCCCAGCUGCGGCCGGAGCAAUCAAAAUGGCCGUCGCUUUCCUAAUCGACAAUCUCGAGAAAGGAACCGUGGAAGAGAAGAAGAAGGCCACUUUCGAGAUCCGAUCCGAAGGGUGGUCUCGAAGUUUAACAUCUUCAAUAGAGCUUUGCUUGGUGGAAGCCGACGCUGUGCCGUGGCUACUCUGCCUCCUCUCGUCGCCGGAUCCUUCCACGCAAGAAAAUGCGGUCGCCGCUCUCUUGAAUCUCUCAAAGCACCCGAACGGUCGUAGGGCGAUCUUCGAAUCUGGCGGCGUCUGCUCGAUCACAGAUGUGAUCAAGACGGGGGCUCACGAUCGAAGCACAGCAGAACGCAGCGGCGAUCCUCUUCUACCUCUCUUCGGUCGAAGAGUACCGAAUAGAGAUCGAAGUGAUCCCCGAAGCGAUCCCGACUUUAGUAGAGCUCCUAACUCGUAAGAGAAGGCAGUUGUUACAGGGGAAAGAAGAACGCAAUCGCCGGCCUCUUCGGGCUUGUCCAAUACCCCGGAAACCACUCAAAGCUCAUCGCGGCAGGGGCUAUUCCGGUUUUCACUAGCCUUCUUUCAAGUGAUAGAGAGGAUCUCGUCGACGAUUCAAUUGCAGCCCUUGAAAAGAUAGCAGAGAGCCGCGAAGGGGCGGCCGCGAUCUUGAUGCGUUCGUCUGUUCCUUGUCUCGUGGAGGUUCUCAACUCAUUGACCUCUCGGUCGGGAAAGGAGCACUGCGUGUCCCUUUUACUCGCUCUAUGUGUUAACGGCGCCGAUAAGGUUGUUAGCCUGCUAGAGAAGAUGCCCGCGCUCGUGUCUUCGUUGUAUUCGCUCGUAACGGAGGGCUCUCCUCAGGCCGGAAAGAAGGCGCGGUCGCUCCUCAAUCACAUUCAUCGGCAUCAAGAGCAGAGUAACCCUCCUCUACUGAGACCGCCGAUCGGCGAUCACGUCAUUCAUGCACACUAAGCUAAAUAACAGCCUCCGCAGUAUUGCUAAAGCCUUUUUUCUUUUUCUUUUUUUUUUGUUAUAAAGUGUUUCUGAUCUCUGCUCGCUUUUUACAAGAGCUGAGAUCAGGAUUAGCGUUUAUAUAUAUACAUACAUAUGUAAAUAGGAUGAUGCAAUUGUUAUGUUGUUAUAUGUUGGCGUGCGUACUUGAGUGUAAAUCCAUCCUUGCGGCAUUUGUUGGUCUCAAUCAAUAAAAGGUUCUGUUGAAGUGUGAGAAUGUUGGUUGUAAAUUAUACCCUCAGUAUAAUAUUCGGGCCUUAUAAAUUAUUAUUGUAUAUAAAUGGCUAGCAGAUGCAAGUAAAAUGUCGUUGAUCUUAUAAUCAACUUAAGCAUAGAUAAGAGGCAUUAUUGACAAGCACAGAUACCAUCAUCAUCACUAAAACAGAGUUCCAUCACAAAAGUAAGAGUCUAAAGAUAAGAGAGACGAAAUUUGAACCAAACAUCUAAAGAAAAAAAAGAGAGACAUCAUCAAUAGAGACGACGGCAGAGAGUGAGCCCGUCGGCGAUCGAAAGCUGCGAUAAUUCAAUGCGGGGGUCAGCGGCUAGUGCCCUGUUAAGAUUUAUCAUGGUCUCCGUAUACACCAGAGCUUCUGGAGGCAGAGGCUCGUCCUCUGGCGAAGGUGCCACCGAUCCGCACCACAGGGUAUUGUCGUACGCGACGACUCCUCCCACCCUCACCAGCUGCAGAAUCCUCUCAUGGUAAUGAAUGUAGUUUUCUUUAUCGGCGUCCACAAACACAAAAUCAAAUGUCCCCUUGUUCUCCUCCUGCGCGACAAGCAUUAAAAUUAUCAUAUAAGUCGAAAAAUAGAGAAAGAAAGAAAGGGUUGAUAUGUAGAGGCUCUUGUUUUCUCCAUUACCUUCGACACCAGUUGGUCGAGAACAGGCAUGGCGGGGCCUUCGCGGAAGUCGAUUUUGUGGGCCACUCCAGCCUUCUGAAUCACCGGAAGGCCCAGCGAGUAGUUCUGCCGGUUGAUAUCCAAUGCCAGUAUCUAAGCACAACCGAAUUAACCCAUAACUAAGCAAGUGCAAAUAAGUUUUUGCCGAGUAGAACCAACAAAAGGUUCUUUAACAGCUUAAAGCUUUUAGAGUACAACGAUUGUUUCACAUGAUAUAUUUAAAACUCCCUAAACAUUUGGGCUCGAGACUUUUUAGUCGGCCCAUGACGUGAGCUUAAAUUAAAUGGGAGGAAAUUAAUAUGUUAGGAGCAUGGCGUGACUCGAACUCAGAACCUUCUGUUCAGAUAUCAUGUGAAACAACCGCUAUACUCUAAAAGCUUACGCGGUUAAAAAAUGAUAUUUAAAUAUUUUUAUAUUUAUUAUUUAACAAGAUUAUACAAACCUGCCCAUCAUCAGGGAGGGCAAGGGCAGUGGCGAGGAGGGAGUAGCCGGUGAAGACACCGAUCUCCAUCGUCUUCUUCGCGUUCAUCAGCUUCAGCAACAUGCCGAUGAACUGGACCUCAUCGGGCGUCGUGGCAAUGACACCCCUGUAAGAUGCAAAAUAUAAAAGCUUAAGCUUCUGGUUAUAACAAAGCAAGAGGGCUCCAAUUUCGAUUCUUUAAUGGUUCAAUUUUAACAUCUAGAUCUUCAAUUUUUAAGUUUUAUUUGAGAGGUCAUAUAAGAUCUAAUUGUAAAAACUGACUCAUAAGAUUAAAUUGGAACUAAAAGGAUAUGCUAUAGAACACUAUAUUAACGCUUCUUUUUUUUUCCCCCUUAUUUUUUAUGCAAAUUGAGAUAAAAUAUAAAAUCAAAAAGCCGAUCCAUAAGGUAGCGUUUGGUUCGAGAACAAGGGAGAGAAUAAGCCCUUGUUCCCCCCUUUGUUCCCAAACGCAGCGUUUGGUACCCGAGAACAGUAGUUUCGGGGUUUAUGGAACUAGCCGGUAUAAGGCUGGAACUGCUGUUCCACCUUUUUCCUGGAACAAGCUUGUUCCCGAAUGAGAACAAGAUUAAUUAAAGUCUAAAUUUAAAUUUUAAUGAUAGUAAAUUAUUAAUUAAUUUAAUUAAUAUAUGUAAAUCAUUAUCCAUUGCUUAAAUAAUAAAAUAAAUAAAUAAAUAAAUUUAAUAAUUUAGAUAAUAAUAAUUAUUAAUUUAAUAAUUAUUAUUUAUUAAUAAUUAUUAUUAAUAAUUAUUAUUCUUAAGAAAUAGAUAAUCGAUAUUAUUAUUAAUUUAUUAUUUAUAAUUAAUUAUUAAUAAUUAGAUAAUUAUUAUUAAUUAAUUUAUUACUUAUAAAUAAUUAUUAGUAAUUAUUAAUAACUAUUUUUAAUUAUUAAUAAUUAUUAAUAAUUAUUAUUCUUAAGAAAUAGAUAAUCGAUAUUAUUAUUAAUUUAUUAUUUAUAAUUAAUUAUUAAUAAUUAGAUAAUUAUUAUUAAUUAAUUUAUUACUUAUAAAUAAUUAUUAGUAAUUAUUAAUAACUAUUUUUAAUUAUUAAUAAUUAUUAAUAAUUAUUAUUCUUAAGAAAUAGAUAAUCGAUAUUAUUAUUAAUUUAUUAUUUAUAAUUAAUUAUUAAUAAUUAGAUAAUUAUUAUUAAUUAAUUUAUUACUUAUAAAUAAUUAUUAGUAAUUAUUAAUAACUAUUUUUAAUUAUUAAUAAUUAUUAAUAAUUAUUAUUCUUAAGAAAUAGAUAAUCGAUAUUAUUAUUAAUUUAUUAUUUAUAAUUAAUUAUUAAUAAUUAGAUAAUUAUUAUUAAUUAAUUUAUUACUUAUAAAUAAUUAUUAGUAAUUAUUAAUAACUAUUAUUAAUUAUUAAUAAUUAUUAUUAUUUAUAAUUAUUUAUUAAUAAUUUAUUUAUUAUUUAUUUUUAAGUAAUAUUUUGAUAUUAAUUAAUUAGAUAAUAUAAUUUUAAUUUUAAAUUAUAAUUUUUAUUUCUCUUGUUCCAAUUUAACCAUCCAAACGCUAUUUAUCUUAUUUAUAGGAACAACUCAAUUUUCAUUCAAACGUAAAAUUGGUUUAGUUUCUGGUUAUAUCUGAACUUGUGCCUAUUUCUGGAACAAGUACUUUUUACUUAUAACCGAACCAAACGCAGAGAGAUUAACGUACCAGGGGUGCUUCUCUGUGAUGCGGCGGAGCUCUUUCAUGCACGGUGCCUCGCGGGGGUACACACUUGUGUUCAA